UGGAUAAUCUUCAGACACUCCCAUUUUGGUC
rnacentral:piRNA from 1 species